GGGACAGUCUUCUCUGCAGACACCAGCCUGGUGUCCUCCUUCAUCCCAGGCUGCCAGGCUAGGCAGGGGACAGCGGCUGCCCUGGUCCUCACAGCCCUGGCUACGGGGCUGGUGACAGCCAGAUCCUCAUGCUUCUGCGACCUGAGCGCUGCCUUCAGACACCUCUCUGCUGGCGUGUUCCUGGGUCCAUGAUGGAAGAAGGAAAAGUAUUUUUAAAAGACAAUCUGAAGCUCAUACUGUGACUGCAACAUAAAAUGUGUUCACCUGAGGAGACUGCUUUCAUCGCCAGUGUGUCACAGAUGGUGGAAACCUCAGAAGGCCACAGUCCAGAGUAGGGGCUUAAUGCAAGCUGCUGGAACUGAAUAAAGGGCAGCUGAUCCAGGACCGUCCACUUCCAAGCCAGCAGGAGGAUGGAAAAGCAGAAUGGAGGGGAAACAACCUCCUUUGCAGGGCGUGACUCGGAAGUUGGACACAUCAUUUCCAGCCACAUUCCAUGGACCAGAAUUAGCCCUGUGACCAACUCUGGCUGCCAGAAAAUCUGGGAAAUACAGUCUCUGCUUGGGCGAUCAGGCAGGCAGUUAUAUCUUUGGGAACAUCUCUCACCCCCUGGGAACACCUGAGCAGAAACUGAAGGACAUUUAACAGAUUCUCCUUUGUGUCUAAUAAGAAUUGCCCCCAUCAGUCGGGGCUGUCCUAGGUGCUGGGUACAUAGGUCAUCUAUACACAACCCAGCAAUGGAGAGCACACCAUUCCCAGGCUGCAGAUGCAGAAACUGUGGCUCGGAGAGUUAAGCGUCUUGUUCAGAUUCAGUCAGCUGGUAGAUGGCAGGUCUGGGAUUGAGACCCAGGCCUGGCUGGUCCUGCCAGGACACAGUAUCACAGCUUUGACUGGGAGCUUCUUUUUGUUUACAUAUAUUUUUUAUGCUCAAUGUGCAUUCCUUUUGAAAUACACAGAAAAGGGAAAGAAGCCGG
rnacentral:lncRNA from 10 species